AGUGGGAUAGCUGAGUCAAAUGGUAGUUCCAUUCUCAAUUUUCUGAGGAAUCUCCAUAGUGUUUUCCAUAGUGGUUGCACCAAUUUGCAGUCCCACCAGCAAU
rnacentral:pre_miRNA from 1 species